rnacentral:rRNA from 1 species
UACGUAGGGUGCGAGCGUUUGUCCGGAAUUAUUGGGCGUAAAGGGCUCGUAGGCGGUUUGUCGCGUCGGGAGUGAAAACACACAGCUUAACUGUGUGCUUGCUUCCGAUACGGGCAGACUAGAGGUAUGCAGGGGAGAACGGAAUUCCUGGUGUAGCGGUGAAAUGCGCAGAUAUCAGGAGGAACACCGGUGGCGAAGGCGGAUCUCUGGGCCAUUACUGACGCUGAGGAGCGAAAGCGUGGGGAGCGAACAGG